UGGGGAAUUUUGCACAAUGGGGGAAACCCUGAUGCAGCGACGCCGCGUGAUUUAGAAGGCCUUCGGGUUGUAAAAAUCUUUUCUAUGGGAAGAAAAUGACAGUACCAUAGGAAUAAGGACCGGCUAACUACGUGCCAGCAGCCGCGGUAAUACGUAGGUGGCAAGCGUUGUCCGGAUUUAUUGGGCGUAAAGCGAGCGCAGGCGGUCAAUUAAGUCUGAUGUGAAAGCCCCCGGCUCAACCGGGGAGGGUCAUUGGAAACUGGUUGACUUGAGUGCAGAAGAGGAGAGUGGAAUUCCAUGUGUGGCGGUGAAAUGCGUAGAUAUAUGGAGGAACACCGGUGGCGAAGGCGACUCUCUGGUCUGUAACUGACGCUGAGGCUCGAAAGCGUGAGUAGCAAACAGG
rnacentral:rRNA from 1 species